UAUAAUGAAUAUCCUGUCUUAAUGAAUAUUUAAAUACCAAAUCCAUCUUAUAAAAUUCCCUAUAUAAAGAAUCAUCAUAUGAGCAAAAAAUAUAAUUCCAUCGACAUAUAGAUAUAAUUUGAAAAAGCUGAAGAAAUAUCAAUUUUAUUAGAAUACAUAAAGCUGAAAUACAAGAAAAAUCCUACAAGCCUGUGUCCUCAAGAAUUGACCUUUUUCUUUUCACUGGUAUUCAAAACAAAUUUGUUAAGUCAUAUAAAGCAAUCGAUACCAAAAUAUCCGACCACAAGGGACUCUAUAUUAAAAUUAAUUUGAUACAUUUCCCAAAUCAUAGAGAUAAAAAAGCUUGGAAACUCAAAUCAUCGCUAUUAGAUCUACCCAAAGUCAAUGAUGAGAUCGUGCAAAUAAUUACGACCACGGGGUGUAAUGUCGAAACAGGAUGCAAGUCUUCUAUGAAGUUCAAAAGACGAUAUCAAAGGUAUAUGCAGAGAAGCUGAAGACCGAGAAGCCGCCAAUAGGAGUUGGAAAAUUGAUAUCAUUGAAAAUAUAAAUAAAGAGGACAUUUCGUAUCGUGAAAAGAAAUUCAAAAUGGAUCAAAUCUUUCGAGUUUCUGACCUAGUAUUUAGAACCAGAAUAAAAAUGAACUUCAUCGAAGACUUAUCUAAAUCAAAGCAACAAUGUGGUAUGAUGAGGGGGAAAAAAAAAAGUAAGGAUUUUUAAUCCUGCAAGCUAAUGGAGUAAUAUCUGAAGAUCCUACAGAAGUAUGUAUAGAAAUACAAACCUUUUUCUAUGAGCUGUAUCAAUGCUUCGACUGUACAGCACUGAAGAAAUGCUCUUGAGUAAAUAAUAUUAAACAUAUUGAAGCUGUUGAACUAGAUUACCGGUCUCUUUUAAUUAUAAAUAUUAGUAAUUUUAUAAUAUAGUUAUGCACAUAAACCAUUAUUUAACAGAUACAUGUACUAUUUUAAAUAUAAUUGAUCAAUUACGAAAUAAAUCUACUUGAUCUAUGUCUUAA
rnacentral:lncRNA from 1 species